ACGGGGGGACUCCUACGGGAGGCAGCAGUGGGGAAUAUUGCACAAUGGGCGGAAGCCUGAUGCAGCGACGCCGCGUGAGGGAUGACGGCCUUCGGGUUGUAAACCUCUUUCAGUAGGGACGAAGCGCAAGUGACGGUACCUACAGAAGAAGCGCCGGCCAACUACGUGCCAGCAGCCGCGGU
rnacentral:rRNA from 1 species